CUCCAUCAGCCUGAGUCCCAGAGUCAGUACCAGAUGGUGCAGAGGCCCUAAUGACCUGAGAUGGGCAUGUAACACAAGUGGGAAAUCAACCUUUACUCUUCUAAGCCACUGAGGUUUGUGGGUUGUUUGUUGCUGCAGCAUAAAAUAACCCAUUCUGACUGAUACAAAGCAGGAGGGAGCUCCUGGCAGUAUAGAUAACUAGAUACUUUGAAGGCCUUCCAACUACAGAAGAACUGGAUCACUUUGUAAAUGCACGACUUGGCUUGUAAGUUGAAGGAAAUUGUCUAGGGAUAGCCCUUCUCCCAAAAAGUGAACUAAAACCACAACUUGGAGCCAAGAGUACUAAGAAGAUAAGAAAAUUGGGUUGUCCUAAGGGCCAGUGCCUUAUUAGCCCUGUGUGAAGCUCCAUCGCAUCAGAAGGUGGGGACACCAAGGUUCUGAGACUUCUGCAUUAGGCCAGGACACUCCGAGAGGGAAAAGCCUCUCAGAACGGCACCAAGAAACUCGUCAAGUCUGCGCCUUUAUAAACUCUUCAGAUUCCAGUAUCCCCCCCGGCCUCUUCUCCCAUCAGCAGCGUACGGGGCUGAUGUCUAAGUGAGCAACUCCCUUUCCUGGUUCCAACAAUUAUAACUGCUGGC
rnacentral:lncRNA from 1 species